rnacentral:lncRNA from 12 species
GAUCAACAAGGGCACAUGGCUUAGUUCUGAGAUUCCUGCGACACGUUAAUCAAAGGCCAUAUCCACACGUCUCCAACCCAAAGAGCAUGUCAAGGUCAAGACAAGUUGAAUGGCAAAAAGAAAGAAGGAAGGAAGGAAAAAAAGAAGGAAGGGAGUAAAUUUAGGUGUGUCCUCUUCCAAAGCCAAGUGUAAGACUGAGAAACUGGCUUGCUUGAGAGGCUACCAGAGUCACGUGGAUAAGGAUGAAUCUGGAGCAUAUUAUGAACAGAAGACAAGUUUAAAUAAAGGGAUGUGAACCAUUCAUUCUAAUGCAGCCCUAGCGGGAAAUUUAACCUAAAAAACAAGUUGAUCAGCAUCACUGAAAUUGAAAGUGUGUAUUCAACCAAAAUGUCACUUUAACCUCACCACCUUUUCAGAUACUCUGAUUUCCUACUGGAGACCUGGUUCUAAGCAAAGGGUGGCUGUGGGAUCUGU